rnacentral:rRNA from 1 species
ACGUUGGAAGCAUGCCAGGGUUUCAUUAUCAAGGCGAGUAUGGGACAAGACAAUCGGUACGUCGGGUCAUUAAAAAUAGCCGGAUGGGACUGGGGGGCUAGCACAUUCGUCCUCUGCGAAUCAAGUCCUUGGUUAGGGGGAUAAGUAGCAAGACUGAACUAAAGAAAUGACGGAAGGGCACACAGGAUUGAAGCUGCGGGUGGGUGUGGUUGGCACGGGAACUACCAGGUCCAGACAUAGUAAAGGGUAGACAGGGUGAGGGCUCUUCUGAUCUAUGGGUGGUGGUGCAUGCCCGUCUUAGUUGGUGGAGUGAUCGGUCUGUUGUCCGAUAACGAACGGGACCUAACUGCUAACUAGAUUCUUCGUCUUACGAUUGUUAUCUUCUUAGAGGGACUAUGUAAAAUAAAUACAUGGAAGUUUGAGGCAAUAACAGAGAGAGUAAUGCCCUUAUAUGUCCUGGGCUGCACGCGUGCUACACUGAUGUAUACAACAAGUGCCUAGCCAGACAUGGCAUGGCAAUCUCGAAUAUGCAUCGUGAUGGGGAUAGAUCUUUGCAAUUAUAGAUCUUGAACGAGGAAUUCCUAGUAAGUGCAAGUCAUCAUCUGCAUUGAUUAUGUCCCUGCCCUUUGUACACCCCCCGUCGCUCCUACCGAUACCGGGUGAUCCGGUGAACCUUGGACCUGCAAGGGGAAGAUAAUAACCAUUCUC